GACGAACGCUGGCGGCGUGCCUAAUACAUGCAAGUCGAGCGAAGUGGAGAGAGCUUGCUCUCAAAGCUUAGCGGCGAACGGGUGAGUAACACGUGGGCAACCUGCCCGACAGACCGGGAUAACUUGGGGAAACUCAAGCUAAUACCGGAUAUGAUCGCAAGCCGCAUGGAUUGCGAUGGAAAGCCUGAACGACACUGUCAGAUGGGCCCGCGGCGCAUUAGCUAGUUGGUGGGGUAAUGGCCUACCAAGGCGACGAUGCGUAGCCGACCUGAGAGGGUGACCGGCCACACUGGGACUGAGACACGGCCCAGACUCCUACGGGAGGCAGCAGUAGGGAAUCUUCCACAAUGGGCGAAAGCCUGAUGGAGCAACGCCGCGUGAGUGAUGAAGGUUUUCGGAUCGUAAAACUCUGUUGUUAGGGAAGAACACCCGGGAGAGGAUCCCGGUUUGACGGUACCUAACGAGGAAGCCCCGGCUAACUACGUGCCAGCAGCCGCGGUAA
rnacentral:rRNA from 1 species